UACGUAGGGGGCAAACGUUGCUCGGAAUCACUGGGCAUAAAGCGCACGUAGGUGGCAUGGUAAGUCUGAUGUGAAAUCCCUCGGCUCAACCGAGGAACUGCGUUGGAUACUGCCGUGCUCGAGGACUGGAGGGGAGAUUGGAACUCCUGGUGUAGCGGUGAAAUGCGUAGAUAUCAGGAGGAACGCCGGUGGCGAAAGCGAAUCUCUGGACAGUUUCUGACACUGAGGUGCGAAAGCUAGGGGAGCAAAC
rnacentral:rRNA from 1 species